rnacentral:rRNA from 1 species
UGGGGAAUAUUGCGCAAUGGGCGAAAGCCUGACGCGGCGACGCCGCGUGGGGGAUGAAGCAUUUCGGUGUGUAAACCCCUUUCGACUGGGACGAAUGCCUCGCAAGAGGAGUGACGGUACCAGUGGAAGAAGCCCCGGCUAACUACGUGCCAGCAGCCGCGGUAAGACGUAGGGGGCCAGCGUUGUUCGGAAUUACUGGGUGUAAAGGGUUCGUAGGCGGUGUGGCAAGUUGGGAGUGAAAUCUCUGGGCUUAACCCAGAGGCUGCUUCCAAAACUGCUGUGCUUGAGUGUGGGAGAGGCGCGUGGAAUUGCAGGUGUAGCGGUGAAAUGCGUAGAUAUCUGCAGGAACACCCGUGGCGAAAGCGGCGCGCUGGACCACAACUGACGCUGAGGAACGAAAGCUAGGGGAGCAAACAGGAUUAGAUACCCUGGUAGUCCUAGCCCUAAACGAUCAGGACUUGGGGUGCCACCCGUUCGGGUGUCGUCCCGGAGCUAACGCGUUAAGUCCUGCACCUGGGGAGUACGGUCGCAAGACUG